CUUAUUAUAAAAUGUAAACUAUUUCAACUAGUCACUUGUUCAGGUGGAACUUUUAAACCAGAGGAAGAACAAAGUAACUACAAUGUAGUUAAUAAGUUCUGGAGAACUUUUCGGCUAGUUAGUUCUUUCCGCCUGGAACUUUCCAACGUUGGAACAAAAGAGCAUUUACAAUAACUUGGACAUCAUACUAAAAUCAGAAGUAUAC
rnacentral:lncRNA from 1 species